rnacentral:rRNA from 1 species
GAUGAACGCUGGCGGCGUGCCUAAUACAUGCAAGUCGAGCGAACAGACGAGGAGCUUGCUCCUCUGACGUUAGCGGCGGACGGGUGAGUAACACGUGGAUAACCUACCUAUAAGACUGGGAUAACUUCGGGAAACCGGAGCUAAUACCGGAUAAUAUAUUGAACCGCAUGGUUCAAUAGUGAAAGACGGUUUUGCUGUCACUUAUAGAUGGAUCCGCGCCGCAUUAGCUAGUUGGUAAGGUAACGGCUUACCAAGGCAACGAUGCGUAGCCGACCUGAGAGGGUGAUCGGACACACUGGAACUGAGACACGGUCCAGACUCCGACGGGAGGCAGCAGUAGGGAAUCUUCCGCAAUGGGCGAAAGCCUGACGGAGCAACGCCGCGUGAGUGAUGAAGGUCUUCGGAUCGUAAAACUCUGUAAUUAGUGAAGAACAAAUGUGUAAGUAACUAUGCACGUCUUGACGGUACCUAAUCAGAAAGCUACGGCUAACUACGUG